rnacentral:sRNA from 1 species
UUGCUAUCUGCGAUAUAAAAGAUUCGAACCUGCUGCAGGUUCGGGUCGAACGCAGUGAGACAACGGAGCCGCCUGCGGCGACGGCCCGAAGGGCGAGGCGAAGCCGAGUCAUCCUGCACGACCCACCA